GGGUGCGAUCAUACCAGCACUAAUGCACCGGAUCCCAUCAGAACUCCGCAGUUAAGCGUGCUUGGGCGAGAGUAGUACUAGGAUGGGUGACCUUUAUGAAUUCAUUAAAGAAAUGUCACUGA
rnacentral:rRNA from 1 species